CAGUCGCCGCGGGAACACGGAGGGUGCAAGCGUUAUCCGGAUUUAUUGGGUUUAAAGGGUCCGUAGGCGGACUUAUAAGUCAGUGGUGAAAGCCUGUCGCUUAACGAUAGAACUGCCAUUGAUACUGUAAGUCUUGAGUAUAUUUGAGGUAGCUGGAAUAAGUAGUGUAGCGGUGAAAUGCAUAGAUAUUACUUAGAACACCAAUUGCGAAGGCAGGUUACCAAGAUAUAACUGACGCUGAGGGACGAAAGCGUGGGUAGCGAACAGGAUUAGAUACCCCGGUAGUCCCUGUCUCUUAUAA
rnacentral:rRNA from 1 species